UACGUAGGGGGCGAGCGUUGUCCGGAUUUAUUGGGCGUAAAGAGCUCGUAGGCGGUUUGGCAAGUCGGGUGUGAAAACUCCGAGCUUAACUCGGAGACGCCACUCGAUACUGCCAUGACUUGAGUCUGGUAGGGGAGCACGGAAUUCCUGGUGUAGCGGUGAAAUGCGCAGAUAUCAGGAGGAACACCGGUAGCGAAGGCGGUGCUCUGGGCCAGUACUGACGCUGAGGAGCGAAAGCGUGGGUAGCAAACAGG
rnacentral:rRNA from 1 species